UUGGAGUUUUUUUUUUAAAUAAUCGUUGGUAUAGGCUGGUAUAUCUUCUGAUAGGGUUUUACCUUAAUCAAGGAGGUUUUGGUGGACACGUCAAACGUUAUUCUCAGCUCGGGGUAUCGGAUAGAAGAAUUAUGAGGAAAAGCUGCUAACAUGCUUUAAACAAUUAUUUAUGUUUCAUUUUCAGCACUCCUAGAAAAACCUAGAAAAUUUAUAGAUUUUUUUAUUUCAUGACCUGGAAUUUUCAGGGAAGUAGACUGGAAAGUCAGGAAAAGUCAGGGAAUUUGAUUUUCAAAUUUGAGUCGACACCCUUAUGAACAAAUAUACUCAAAAUGUUGAACUUAUGUCGCUUUUCAUACAACUUUUGAACAGUAUAGCUUAAAAGUUAUUCAAAUACUUAUUUGUUUUAAAAGCAAAGUUCGCGUUAUCAUAUCAAAAACCCAAUAUCUCAGUAGUUUUGAAGUUAAUUUUGAUCGUGGAAUCUUUCAUUUCAAACACUGUGCAUAACAUGCGUAUAUUGUGUGGCAGUCACAAUGAUACACUAUGCCCAGGGAGUCGAGAUUUUUUUUUCGACCAGAACGAGAACCGAACCCGCCGUCCCUGGAUUGGCGAUCCAUAACCAAUCACUAGGCUAAUUGGGUUCCUUAGUGAAUAAAAUAUUGCUAUUUUGUAUAGCCUAAUCGAAAGAACUCAUUUUUCUGAGUAUAACGUGAUUUUAUUGGAUUCCGAUAACUUUGUUUUGAUGGUUUAAUUAACAAAACAGUUUUCAUUUUUGUGGAUAGAAUGACAGUUCAAUCGAUAAAGUGACAGUUCGACCCGAACAAAAAAAAUCCCCAUACAAACUUUAAAUGCAUUUUAAAAAUAGUUCCCGGACUCCGAAAAUUAUGAAAUUUUGGAUUUUGACUAAUUGUUGGGCGGAGAAUCCGAUUAUGAAAUAAUCCGGAUACCCCUAAAGAACCCAAUUAGAGGCCCUUUAGCAGGGUUGUAAAUCAUCUGGUUAUUUGCCUAUUUCACUGUUCCCAGCAAGAAAUGUUCAUCGACGAUAUUGUUAUUUUACUAUAACUAAUCAAUGUUAUUGAAGGUUCACGAAUGGAAAUUUGCAUUAAAAAUUGUAGAAUUGGGUUCUUAAGGGGUAUCCAGAUUAUUGCAUAAUCGGAAUCUCCGUCUAAAAAUUAGUCGAAAUCCAAAUUUUCAUUAUAUUUGGUGCCCGAGUACUAUUUUUAAAAUGCAUUUAAAGUUUGUAUGGGGAAAAUUUUUUGUUCGCGGCGAACUGUCACUUUAUCGAUUGAACUGUAAUUCUAUCCAUGGAAAUUAAAACUGUUUUGUUUAUUUUACCAUCAAAACAAAUGAUUAGGGACGCAAUAAAAUCACCGUAUACUCAGAAAAGUGAGCAAUUUCGAUUAGGCUAAAGAAAAUGAUAAUAUUUAAUUCACUUAACAGCCCAAUGGACUACCCGCUUUGCGCGCAGCCACAGUUGAUCAGCAGGAGUAAAUCAAUUUAAUUUUGUAUGGCGAAAUGCAUCUAAACUUGAAUUACUUGAAAUACAAAGCAUUUUCCGAAAAAAAUAUUUGGUAGGCUUAAUAGUGGUUACCAUUGUGCACAACCUCUAUCAAAUAUUUUUUCGAAUAAUGUGUUCCACUUUGAAGAAUUUGCCUUUAGAUGCUAUUCGCCAUACAAUAUUUUUGCGAUUUACUUUUAGCAAUUUUUCGCGCAUAGAAGCUAGCGCCACAUUGGUCGAUGCGGAGAGUAGGAAAACAGCCGAUGUAGUUAAUUCAUUGGAAAAUGUCAUGACUUUUUUUUCAUGACAUUUCCGUGACAUUCUACAACCCUGCCCUUCAGUUGAUUUUAUAGAAUAUAACAAAAAAUAAAAAUGUUUUCAAGAGUUUUUUUUUCGUUUCAAUAUGUUGACUAUAAAUUAAUAAUUGUUGGCGAAUCCACGCCACCGCGCCUUCACUACACUUUGGGCCAGCCUAAAGUCAGAUGUUGCAGAACGGUCGAGACUACGUUGGGCAUCGGGUGGCACCGAACGAUAGAUGGAAUGACAGUUUCCUCUGUCAUGUGGUGAGUCACUCACACUAAAACAACUGAAUUGUCAAUUAAUUAUAACGAUCAAAAGUCAAAGAACGUGAACUUGCUAAAUUAUUUUCUGUCGCUGAUGAUUAUUUCAUUAAACGUUGAAUUAUUUCUAGUUUAUUAUAUCUAAUACUAAAAGGUAACUUAAUACUAUAGAAAAUAAUCGAAUUCAGUUAACUUAUACUAUAUUUGCACAGUUCAACUUAAUCUACGUUGUCGACCACAUAUAGCCUAAAAAUAACCUAUAUGCUAUUACUAAAAGGUAAAACUACAUAUAUAGGAUUUCAUGCAUAUUAAAUAAAACCUUAUAAUUAUAGUACGGCAGGUUAGAUAGUACGGACUAGUGCGACAAAACGGCAAAAACAUACAUUGUACAAACGGUGGAUGACAAAACGAUUAGACUCGAGACAGACUUGAACUGAUUACACGGAGGGAAACGAAACAUUGAAUUCGGGACUAAACGUAAGUGACAAUUAAUAAUAUUGUACAUACUCAUAUUUCUCUAUAGACACAUAAUUAACAUCACAAUCAAGAAACACCAAUUACAUGUUGAACUUAUGUAACCUUCUUAGGAAAAUAAUAAUCAUCCGGAUUAAAACCAAAAACCCAAUCGCCGGCCGUUUUAUUUCCGGGAUUAUUAUUGCGGAAUCACCCGAGGUUGUUGGCAAUUUCCAACAAUUUAUUAUUUUCGUUUAAUGUGCAUACUCCGGUCAUGUCGAGUCGUACUCUACGGUCAAAUCGGUCAGGCAAACCGAGCCAUGGUGUUGGUGUGAAAGAUAGUGUGAAUAGUGGUGUUCAAGUGGUGGUCACGGAAGAUCCGGAGGAGUCUCACCCCGGGCGGACAUGCCAAGUGUGCCGAGGAGUUGACACGGAGGAAAUGGUGCAAUGCGACGACUGUCUGAAAUGGCAUCACUUCCAGUGUGUGGGAGUAACACAGCAGAUCGAGAAUCAUCCUUGGAGUUGUGCCAAAUGCGGAAAAGCGAAAGGUGUCCGGGAACCAAAUUCGACUGCUCAUCGAGGAAGCGGUAAUCCAUCAAUGCAGGUGGCUGAGGCAGAAUUGAAUCCGUUGUCUGCACUAUCACACCAGCAGUUCCCAGCCCAGUCGCAGACGAUCACGGCAGCGCUGAAUUCGACAGCGAAUCACCCUAUUCAACCGAACGAUGAGAAUCAAACCCCGUUCGUGACUUCCUUGCGAUGGGUAGUGAAUACGAGCAGACAACCGUCUAGGAAUGCUUCAGUUUCAUCGGGGCGUUCCUCGCAGGCGCUCGCUAAGCUCAAACUGCAAAAACUGGAGAAGCUGAGGAGUAUUGAGCGGCGUGAGGCAGAGCAGCAACGAGCAAUUAUAGCGGAUGAAGCGAAGAAAGAAAAGGUGUUUCUUGAGCAGAAGUACCAGUUACUGGAGCAAGCUAUGUCUGAAAGUGGUUCUUCUAUGGACGAUGCAGUUAGCAGAACAGAACAUUGGGUGGCGAGUACGAGCGGUCAUCGAAGCCAGUCAAGACAGCUGGGCAUGGUGAACCAAUUUGAUCUAACUGAGCGGUUGAGUAAAGUACAGCUUGCCCGCCCGAAUAGUAUACGCAACGGCAGUAGCCGCUCAUCAUUACCUGAGCCAAAUCCACCGGAUCCAUUUCCAGUACCGGAAUCCUUGCGAACUUGUUCCGUAGAACCGCCUGCUUCAGACGGAAGAAUGCGGCAGUUGGAAUCUCAACCAAUCAGCUCCCACGAGGUCCCACGUCGAGUGUCGAUAGCACAUAUUUCUCAUUCUGGGGCACGCGGUGUAUUACUGCCCGGUCAAUCGCUGGAUGCACCGCGACCGGUGUUACAAACAGCACAACGAGAUCAACCACGAGAUUAUGUAUCGCAUUUCCCAGAACCAGAUGCGAGUCGUCAGUUUUCUCGAAAUGUACCGACUCCGGGGUAUCAACAGUUCGUUCCACAUCCGAACCAAUCGCAAGCUUAUCUACCGAACCCUCCUCUUUCAUCUACCAUGCGGGCUUCUCAUGUCUACGAUCAAGAAGAGGAUCCAUGUCCGAUUUCCCGUAAGCAGCUGGCUGCUCGGCAAGCAGUUGCCAAGGAUCUACCUACGUUCUCUGGAAACCCAGAGGAAUGGCCUCUGUUUUUCGCAACCUUCAACAGCACAACAGCAUUGUGCGGGUUUACCAGCGAGGAGAAUAUCGUCCGCCUACAACGAAGCUUGAAGGGCCGCGCGUACGAGGCAGUAAAAAGCAGACUGCUGCAUCCAUCAAAUGUAGGCGGGGUCAUGUCAACUCUGAAGAUGUUGUUCGGGCAGCCAGAGAUAAUUGUACACACUAUGAUGUCCAAAAUAAAUUCUCUUCCGUCACUGAGAGAGGAUAAACUGGAAGCUCUUGUGGACUUCGCCGUUAGCGUUGAAAACUUUUGUGCGACUGUGGAUGCGUGUGGAUUAGAGGAAUAUCUCUACAAUAUCUCCUUUCUCCACCAACUCGUUAACAAGCUUCCCCCAUCGAUAAAGUUGAACUGGGCGCAAUACAGACAGACACUACCGACGGUCAACUUACCGUCUUUCAGUAAUUGGCUAUACUCACUUGCAGAAGCUGCUAGUGCUGUCACCAUUCCGAACAUACCCUAUGAUUCCAAACCGGUUCGUGUCGACCCACGAGUGACAAAAAGGAGCAACUCGUACGUCAAUGCCCACUCUGAGGAUACUUAUCCAGGUAAUCACUCCGCAGCGCCAUCCAAUGCGGAAACUGUAGCCGAUUGCUGCCCAGUAUGUGAAGGAUACUGUAAAUCUAUCGCAAAGUGCAAACGCUUCCUGGAAUUCUCUCGUGACUCCCGCUGGGCAACCGUUCGAGAUCUAGGACUAUGUCGCAGAUGUCUACGUCAGCACAAAGGAUGGUGUCAAGCAAAGGUGUGCGGCAAGAACGGCUGCGAGUUGAAACACCACGAGAUGCUGCACAACGACCAGAAAAGCAUGCAACAAUCGUCCAUCACUUCAAGCAACCAAAACGAACCUUCCCCGACUCAGCAUCCAAAUCCCACACCGCCUCCAAUGCCAAGCUCAUCCGAGCACGGGUGUCAUGCUCAUCAAGUUACAUCUAGUCAAGUUUUAUUCCGCUAUCUACCCAUUGUGCUACAUGGAAAGUACCGGUCCAUUGAAACGUUCGCCUUUCUUGAUGACGGAUCAGAACUCACUUUGCUCGACAAAGAACUAGCGGACGAACUGCAGCUCGAAGGAGAGCCGAUGCCAUUGUGUUUGCACUGGACAGGAGGAGCCACACGUCGAGAGGAAGGAUCAAUGACCGUCAAGCUGGAGGUGUCUGCACAGCAUAACGAAUCGAAACGGUAUCCAAUGACUGAUGUACGAACAGUAGCGGAAUUGCUCCUUCCUUCGCAAACACUUAACCUUCCAGAGCUAUGUGAACGAUUCCCACAUCUCAAGGGUUUGCCUAUCACUUCCUAUCAAGAAGUUCGGCCCAGGAUUCUAAUAGGAAUGAAGGAUCAGCAUUUGAGCUUGAUUAAAAAGAGUCGCGAGGGUGCUCUACACCAACCAGUCGCGGUCAAAACUCGUCUCGGAUGGGCAGUCUGUGGUGGAGGGAAUCAAGAUAACUCCGCAAACCUUGCCCACUCAGUAUUUCACGUAUGCGCCUGCGACUCACCGACGGACGAUAAUCUUCACCAAAAAAUGAAGGAGUAUUUCGCAGUCGACAGCCUAGGUAUUGCUCAACCUAUGAAAACUCUUCGUUCUUCCGAAGAGGAGCGUGCUCUCUCUCUUCUUGAAGCUCGCACAGUAUUCAAGGGAGACCGCUACGAAACAGGCUUACUAUGGCGUCAUGACAAUCCACGUCUACCUGACAGUCUCCCAAUGGCACUCCAACGACUGCAAUGCCUUAAAAAGCGAAUGGAUAAGAACCCAGAGCUCGCCGAAGCUCUCAAUCAGAAAAUUUCCGAUUUCGUCGUGAAGGGAUAUGCUAGAAAGCUUAACGAAGAAGAACUAAGCCGAAAACAUCCACGGAUAUGGUAUCUUCCAAUAUUUCCCGUUACGAACAUAAAUAAACCUGGAAAGAUCCGAAUGGUCUGGGACGCAGCUGCGACCGCAUACGGUGUGUCUCUGAACUCAGCUUUACUCAAGGGACCCGAUCAGCUUUCCGAGCUCUUCACCAUACUGAUCCAGUUCCGCGAAGGCCGUUUUGCGCUAUCCGGUGACGUGCGUGAGAUGUUCCUGCAAGUGCUUAUGCGUCCAGAGGAUCAGCAAUGCCAACGUUUUCUGUGGUACGACCAGGAUGGAACCCUAUCUGUCUACGUCCUGCAGGUGAUGACGUUCGGAGCGUGCUGUUCUCCAUGCAGCGCCCAAUAUGUUAAGAAUUUGAACGCAGAACGUUUCAAUGUGACUAUCCGGCGGCUACCGAGGUGAUUCAGAAGCGUCACUACGUCGACGAUAUGUUAGUGAGUGUAGCUACAGAAGAAGAGGCGAUUCAGCUUGCUCAAGAAGUCAAGCAAGUUCACGCAGAAGGUGGGUUCGAGAUCCGCAAUUGGGUUAGUAAUUCCAAGCGUGUCAUCCAGGCAUUGCAAGAGGACCGAACAGAAAAGAAAAAUCUCGACGCGACAUCAGAAAUAUCCCAGGAGAAAGUUCUCGGAAUGUGGUGGUGCACCGAUUCCGACACAUUCACCUACAAAGUAGGAUGGAAUCGGUACGGACAAGCUUUAUUGGAAGGUCAAUACCGUCCAACGAAAAGGGAUAUGUUACGCGUCCUUAUGUCCAUGUUUGACCCGUUAGGGCUAAUCGCUCACUUCCUUAUGUAUCUCAAAAUCGUUCUACAAGAAGUAUGGCGUUCCGGAAUUGGCUGGGAUGACCAAAUCAACGAUGUUAUUUACGAGAAGUGGCAAACGUGGCUUGCAGUAUUGCCGCAAGUCGAACGCACUAGUAUUCCUCGGUGUUAUUUCGGUGGAUUUACAGCUGCCAAUGGAGACGUCCAGCUUCAUACAUUUGUUGACGCUAGUGACAAUGGAAUUGCUGCUGCUUGCUACUUGCGUUCUGUUCAUGACGGUAUCGUGAAAUGUAAUUUGGUGGCCGCUAAAACUAGAGUUGCACCUCUGAAAUUCCUUUCCAUUCCGAGGUUGGAACUCCAAGCAGCAUUAAUAGGUGCGAGACUGGCCCAAACGGUAUCUGCAGCCAUAACGAUUCCGAUUACAUGCCGGGUCUACUGGUCCGACUCACAGGACGUGCUAUUUUGGAUCAAGUCCGAUCACCGCCGCUAUUCACAAUUUGUAGCAUUUCGAGUCAGCGAGAUCCUCGAUACCACCGAGAUGUGCGAAUGGAGAUACGUUCCAACCAACCAAAACGUUGCCGAUGAUGGAACCAAAUGGAAGGGACUACCGGAUCUGACUCCUCUAUCUCGAUGGUUUAUCGGGCCACAGUUCUUGUAUUAUUCAGAAGGGAAUUGGCCCCAAACACCGAAGAGUACCAACACUGCCGAUUUGGAGCUUCGUCCGAGUGUGAUGUCACAUUUCUUGGCGCUGAAUUCUUUAAUUAACGUCGAUGAAUACUCCAGUUGGGACCGGAUAAUCAAAGUCGUCGCUUUACUCCACCGCUUUGCUUGCAACUGCAAACUGAAGAUCCAAAGAAAACCAAAAAGGAUCGGGCCCAUUUCGAACUCGGAAUACAAAGUUGCCGAAUCAUACCUCUUACGUCAAGCUCAACACGAAACCUUUCCUGAUGAGAUAGUACAUCUUACAAGAUCACAGGAAAGUGUUGAGCCACCUAUUUCCACAAUUCCUAAAUCAAGUCCUCUUUACCGGAAAUCUCCAUGGCUGGACAAAUCCGGAAUAUUGAGGAUGCGUGGCCGGAUAACUGCUUGCGACUACGCAACCGAGGAUGCAAAACACCCAAUAAUACUUCCCCGUGACCACCAUACCACAAAGUUAAUUGUUUCACACUAUCACCAAAAGUUCCACCAUCAGAACCACGAGACCGUUAUUAACGAAAUCCGCCAGAAAUUCAGCAUUCCGCAUCUGCGCUCGACCUAUACCAAAGUGAGAAAUAACUGCCAACGUUGCAAAAACGAUCGUGCUGUUCCAAGAGUGCCCAUCAUGGCCGACCUGCCUGUAGCACGCCUGGACGCAUUUACUCGCCCGUUCACGCAUGUUGGUGUCGACAUGUUCGGGCCGUACGAGGUUGUUACCGGUCGUCGAGUAGAAAAACUAGGAGUGGGUAAUGUCUGAGACAUAACCGCAAUGUUGACGUAGGACAAAGACUGGAACGAGAUUCCGACUUUUAUAUUUCCAUAAUACAAUGUUUGUUGUUAUGAUAAUACAAAUGGUGAACUGAUGUGUUGAGUAAAGUUGUUGUGUGAUCGCUUUCGCUGAACGCAUUCAUAACCCAACAAACAUUUUUGCUGUAUAAGAGUAAAACAAAUCACUCUUAAGCUAACUUUAACUCAAGAAGCUGUUAUUCAGCUGGUUCGGUUACUUGGAAAGAUGUUGACUAGUUCAAGAGUUAUUUAGUUUUGAAGAGAAAUGGUCAAAUUACUGUUCUACGAGAGAAUUUUCACCAGCGGAUAAAAUUAUUAGAUAAUUGAACGGCGUUAGAUAGAUCUUUUCAACUAAAGUUUAACGUGAAACUCUUUCGACAAUGAGCCAUUUUACGAGGUGACAACAAUGUUGAUGAUGAUAUUGGUUUUCACGGGUUAUUUGACGCUGCCUUCUUUUAAAAAUUCAUUAAUAAAAUCGGCUCGUAAAAUGGACUAUACCAGAGAAAAUAGGUAGAGAAGCGAAGAGUGUGAAGCCAAAAAAACCUUAUCGAACCGUCAAACUGGUAUCCUAUCGAACAAAAUCAACAAACCUUGACGAUUGCCGCAUAAUUCAUGAUAAGUAUUGCGAUCAUUCGAAACAUUUUUUUACCAAUAUUUUUAAAUAUCAAGGAUAUUACUGUAAAUAACAUUGAUUUCUUAAAUUGACGAAAAUUGAUCCUUUUUGGUAUACAUUUUAGAUGAUUUCUUGUUAAUAAAUCAACAGCAUAAAUCAUUUUCUAAUGCAGUACACGAGAAAGACACUACCCUCGAUAGGUGGAUGAUUCUGUUUUUCGGCAGUUGCCAACAUCCGAGUUACGAAAUCAAAACAGAAAAAGUGUUGCCGUUCAGACGGCUGUUCACUCUUCGCUUCUCUACCUAUUUUCUCUGGACUAUACGUUGUUUUCAUCCGGGAAGAACAUAUUAGUGGCGACUUCACUAUUGCUGAACUACCAAGCUUUCAAUCUGUCGCUUUUAAUUAUCCGAAUCAUAACUCAUGAGGAAUCAUUUUCGCUGAUCCUGGAAAAGACCGUUUAUAAAACGGAAGAUUUUGGCAAGACAAUCGCAUGAAUUCAUCACGCAAUGCGAUUUUACCCAUACUGAAUGCGGCCGUUUGCUGUCGUGGAUGAGAUUCCUGUUGCUGCCACCACGAUAACCGAGUCAUCGCUGAGUUUGUGUGCUGCUGCCUAGCUGGGAGGUGACAUCUCCCUUCUCCUUGACUGAUCCAAGGAAAAUGACGAAAGAUAACAGAGGAAACAGCUUUUAUGCCUCUAGAUUAGCAGAUGAAGCUCCUCCCAUUCGGCGGGCUUUCCAGUUUAUUCCGUUUGUAUGACCCGCCCAUAUUGUGUCAGACGCUUCAAACGACUAAUCAACCGUUCUUUGAGACAAUUUUUAAUCGAACGGAUAAACUAAUUGAAGUAUUGAAUAGUUAAGAUAAUUUUAAUUCGAUAAAUAUUAGAAUGAAACAAUGUUCCAGGCACAUUUGUCCGAAUAAGAUAAUGCGUUGCUAAAUUUCGUGUAGAAAGAUUAGUGAUCGAUUUUGCUGUUGCUGAGCCACCAAGCAUUCAACCAUUCACUUUUCGAAUGCACUACACUUUUACCGAUCGAUGGAAUAUAUCCGAAAAUUAUCCGAUUCAUAACUCUUAAGGAAUAAUUUUCUCUGGUCCUGAAAAGGUCCGUUCAAAUAACGGUUGAUUUUAGAAAGACAAAGGAAAAUUAUCCGCACUGAAUGCGGGAAGCCAUCGAAAACUGCCGCCACCUGCUGCCGUGAAUGAGAUUCCUGGUUCUAUCAGAUAGAUAGCCGAGAGCCGUCGCUGGGUUGGUGCGCAGCUACCCAGCUGCGGAGGUAACUUCCAUUGCCGGGCCCACCGCAGCCGUGAUCAGUGGAUGAGAUUCCUGGUGCUAUCACUCGUCGCAGUUGACGUGCUGCUGCGCAGCCGUGGACGUGAUAUCCACCUCCACCCUCCCUGACUGAUCCAAUGAAAAUGACGAAAGAAAUCAGAGGGAACAGCUUUUAUGCCCCUAGAUUAGCAGAUGAAGCUCCUCCCAUUCGGCUGGCUUUCCAGUUUAUUUCGAUUGCAUGACCCGCCCCGCAUGCUUCGGACGCUUCAAACGAUUUUUAACCAAGAAAUGAGAGAAAUUUUCAUUUAACAAAUAAAGUAACAAAAGUUGGAGGGGUUGUAUACUAGACACGACCGCAAGUCUGACGUUGAAUAACGUCCGUUUAUGCAUUUGUUUCAAUUAUUGAAUGCUGUAAUUAACAUUGAUAAAGACUGUGAUGCGACAUUUUGAUUUGGUUUAGUUUUAUGUGGUUUUAUUGUAGACGGCGAUUGAUAGUGCACCGCAUAGCAUCUCUAGGUUCCAUACCUCACAUUUCGAGGAAAUGUCAAAGCCUGGCAAACCCUCUUUGAGUUGUUGCUUGAGCAGUGUUUGACGCCAGAUUGAUGCAGAUUUCAGAUCCUCUCCCACAAUAUCACUGCUUUCGCUGGUUUUUGAAAUUUUGAAUGGACGCGACAAGACUUGACCUGCGUAGUAGUUGGUUUUAACAUAUUUCCAUAAACGAAUUUGUCAAAACUAUUUAAUAAUCUUUAUCUAUAACAGGUAACCGUUCAUUUUAUAAGAAUUUAAACUGAUGCAAUCCAACAGAUCAUUCAAAAAUGCAAAUCAUCAAGCUUUUGCUAAUUGGUGAACUGAAUUUACCAAUAGUUUAUAAAAUAACUAAGAAUAUUCAGAUGUCGUAAGGUUUUCUUCUAGAUUGUGUGGCAAAAAUGGGCAUAGAAGUGUUCAAUUUUUGCGGAGACAACACACAUUGAAAUUUGGCUGGGAAAUAUCAAGAUGCUACAAGAAUCUAAUAUAUUCCCACUACUCCGUUUGCAAAGUUUAUGCUAUGGUUUUGGACUUAGCCGGUUUUGACACAUUUGUGACCUGGCGCGUCGUCUAGGAAAAUUAUUUGGGUCACUCUUGUGGGGAACAUUUUUGAAGCCCUUAGAAGGGCUGUUUAAUUUUAUUUGUUGUACAUACAAUAAUCGUUCAAUUAUUGCAUGGGGUGAAAAUCGGUAGCUAUGCCAACCAAAUCUAGAACGGCAUCGGUGGCGUUGACUCCGAUGGGGGUUUUGCUAUGGCGAUGCUGCGCAAUCUCGGGGCAAAAGAAAGCCCUCGUUAUUGCCGCGCACCAGUUUGAACUGGUUGAUUGCUUCACUGGCGCCGCGUACAACGAUGGAGAAGAGAGGAGAGCGUAACAGCCGACAACCACCGCGCUCGGCUUGCCAAAGCAUGCUGAUAGAAAACGCAAACGGAGAAACUGGCUAGCUCUCCUUCGAUGCGAUCCCCUCGAGGGGUCAAGAAAGAAUGAUGGAAGAUGAGAAGAAGCAGUUUGCUUUUAUACGGCACAAUGGCCUGGUUUCCCCUCUCGAACGUGAUUGAUUAGAUGUGAGGGGAGUAAAAUUCAACGAUGCCAUACAAAUUUAUCUGCAAUAAUUUAUUUAUUAUAGCGGAGUAUUAAAAUAUACUAAAAUGAUUAUUAUUAGCCAUUGCCAAAUCAGUAGGUAGGCUUAGGAUUAACCAAUAUUAUAAUGUUUAGUAAGGAAUGACAGUAUGUAGUACAAAAGUCAUGUAUUUUCGACCAAAAUGUCUAAAGAUUACAGAUAUUUGAAAUUCUUAUUGAAAUUUGGCAACGCUGGUUAACAGUUUUCAUUUUUCAGCAAACCUGCCAUUUUUCAAAGUUGUAGAAAUUUCAAGCAGAUUUAUGAUGCGCGCAUAAGUUUAGGCUUUCCUUACCGUAUCUUGAAUUUAGAAUAGAUUCUACAUCAAGUGGUUAAAAUAUUCCCAGUUGUUGCCAUGGCCAUCCGCUACCGCACUGGGAAAAUGCGAAUGAGCCACCGCCGCGGCUGCUUCUAGGUUGCUAGCGGUGCUCUCGAAGUAGGUUUCAAAAUGUUUGCAGCAAUUUGAAUCAACUCUUACGUGGAAUUUAGAAUUAUAGCCCUAAUAAGGGCUGUUUAAUUUUGAUUUCACAAAACCAAACCACGUUGCUGCCGUGUCGUCGGCGCCCAUCCGCUUCCGAACUGGGGAAAUGAUAAAUUAUUCCCCCACAGCCGCUGCUGCACGGUUGUCGUCGGUGCGUCCGUCCGUCCACCGCGGUCGACAGCGUGAGAAUGUGCUGUGAGAAGAGAAUGCUGAACGAAAAUGUAAACCGAGCUGUGCUCCUCCGUCUCUGAUCCGGUAAACGAGCUGCCGCGCGCGACGAGGCACCGACCACCGUGCUCGGCUUGUCAAAGAACACUAAAAUGAAAACGCAAACGGAGCAAACUGCAGUGCACACGAAGACACACAACCGACCACCGCGCUCGGCAUGCCAAAGAAUACUAAACGAAAACGCAAACGGAGCAAACUGCAAAGCUCUGCUUCGAUGCGUUCCCCUCGAGGUGUUAAUGAAGAAUGAAGGAAGAGGGGAAGAAGAAAUAGCUUUUAUACUGCCAGGCGCUCGAUCGAAAACCCCAAAUCCGUGCUCGAACGUGAUUGGCUGGAUAAAACAUGGGUUCACUUUUCUCAAAUUUUCAAUAGUUUACUAUUGAAAAUCAAUAUUUACCCAGCAUGGAUUCGACGCGUAAAUAAAUUUCUGAUGGAUUCAUGCAAAAAGAUUGAAAAUCCAUUAAGAAUUGACAAAGUUAUUAGCGGUCAAAACCUAACCACUUUUCGUUACAUGCUCAAAUUUUCUGUUUUCUGAAUUGUACCCCCAUAUCUUGCCGAACGACGUUAUUCAACGUCAAAAAUAUAAAAAUAUUUAGAUCAUUUUAAUUCGAAAAAUGCUAGAAUUAAACAAGGGAUCGUUCUUAAAUUACGGCACACAAAAAUUAGUCAUUUUCAACCCCAUCUCAUCCCUGUCACACUUUUUGUAUGGGACCUCUGAAAUUUUUGUAUGGGUCGUCACACUUUGCUGACCCCCCCCCCCCCCCCCUAUUUAAACGUGACGUAAUUUCUGGACGCUCCCCAAUGUUUCACGAAAAAUGGUUCUGAUAGGACAAUGCGUUGCUAAAUUCUGGGUGGAACGAUUAGUGGCCGGAAUUCAAUCUUUCAUUUCUCGAUUGAACCACACUUUUCUCGAUUGAUGGAAUGAAAUUAUCUGAUUUACAACUUUUGAGGAAUUAUUUUCGGUGGUCCUGAAAAGGACCGUUUGAUUAAUUGACGAUUUUAGGAACGAAAUGGCAUGAAAACAUCAUGUCACGCAAUGCGUGUUGGUGUUCCCUUGCUAAAUACAGGAUGCCACCGAAAACUGGUACGCCGCUUUCUGCCAUGGAUGAGAUUCCUGGUGCUAUCCGCACGAUAGCCGAGAGUUUUGCGGCUGGGUUGAUGUGCCACUGUUCAGCUGUGGGGGUGACAUCCACCCUGUCUGACUGAUCCAACGAAAAUGACGAAAGAAAUCAGAGGGAACAGCUUUUAUGUCCCUAGAUUGGCAGAUGAAGCUCCUCCCAUUCGGCUGGCUUUCCAGUUUAUUUCGUUUGCAUGUCCCGCCCCGCAUGCAACAGACGCUUGAAUCGGUUAAUCAACCGAGAAAUGAGAAAAUUUUCAUUUAACCAAUAAAGCAAUCAAAAUAUUGGAAGAUUUAGAUAAUUUUAAUUCGAAAAAUGGUUAAAUUAAACAAUAUUUCACGAAAAAUGCACUGGAUAGGAUAAAGCGUUGCUAAAUUCCUGAUGGAGUCAUUAGUGGCCGGCAUCAUUAUUGUUGCGGGGCCACCAAGCAUACAAUUUUUCACUUUUCGGUUGCACCGCACUUUUACCGAGCGAUGGAAUGAAAUAAUUAUCUGAUUCACAACUCUUGAGGAAUAAUUUUCUAUGGUCCUGAAAAGAACCGUUUGAAUAUUGAACGAUUUCAGACAGAAAAUAGACAUGAAUUAAUCAUGCCACGCAAUGCGUUUUUAAUCUUCUCCGUGCUGAAUACUGAACGCCGUCGAAAAUUGGCCCGCCGCUUGCUGCCGUGGAUGAGAUUAGUGAUCGCCCUCACUGUUGCUGAACCACCACCAAGAAUUCAAUCUUCCACUAUUUGUUUUCACUACACUUUCUCGGUCGAUGCAGGAAAUUUAUCCAAUUAACUCUCUCGGAAGCAUUUUCGAUGAAAUUGAAAUCAAUUCAUCAUGCCACGUGUUGGAUUUCUCCGUGCUGUUUGCUGGAAGCCGUCGAAAAUUGGCCCGCCGCUUGCUGCCGUGGGUGCGAUUCCGGAUUUUGCUGCUGCCUCUGCCACCACCGUCGAUCAAUCUGAUGUUCAUACACUUCCUUGGUCUGCCGUGUUAGACGGUUAGAAGGUGAAUGUGCAACAGUCCCCUUGCCGAAAACCACCGCACCGACACCGAGCCGACACGGCCGUCAAAGAAGAAUGAGCGAAAACGCAAACGAAGAAAGUGGGCAGCUCUCGUUCGAUGCGUUCACCUCGAGACGACAAAGACGAAUGAGGGAAGAUGCGAAGAAGCAGUAGCUUUUAUAUUCGACGGGAGCAUCCAAAAUGUGCUCGAUCGUGAUUGGCUGGAAUAAACAUGGGUUCACUUUUUCAAAUUUUUCAAUAGUUUGUUAUUGAAAAUCAGCAAAUGUUAAUAUUGUACAUAAUUGGUGUAAAGAUUUCCAAUCGAUUGGAGCCAAAAUUUUGAAAAUUCAACGAGAAAUGGCUGAGUUAUUAUCGCUCAAAAUCUCCACUUCAAACGUAACGCGGCCGAUUUCUGAAAAUUUAGAAUGACACCCGGUAUAGAAAAGAGAGACGUAGUCCUACGUCAAAACGUUGGGGAUUGCUUGCCACUUGCCUCACGAUCCGUGCGAUUCACAUAGAAGUUGUGCACUCCCUCAGCACGGAUUCGUGCAUCAUGGCCUUGCGCAAUUUUAUUUCACGAAGGGGUAAGCCACGGACCUUCUAUAGUGAUCGCGGUACCAACUUUAUCGGUGCAAAGCGAGUACUUCAAGAAACAGAAUGUGUCGUCAACGAAGAAAAGCUGAUGAAGGAGUUCGUGGAUACCGAGACAAGCUGGACGUUCCUGCCGCCAGCCUCACCGCACAUGGGCGGUAGCUGGGAACGGUUAAUUGGUAGCGUUAAGAAAAAUCUGAUGGCAAUUCUGCCUACAAGAAAGCUUACGGAUGAAGUCUUGCGCAACCUUCUUACAGAAAUUGAAAGUACCGUGAACUCGAGACCGCUAACACAUGUUCCGGUAGACGACGAUUCAGCACCCGCCUUGACCCCAAACCACUUCCUUCUCGGGUCAUCCAAUGGGUCAAAGCCGCUGUGCAACGCUGAUGACAGUGGUAGUGCCCUUCGUCAAACCUGGCUGCUUUCUCAGGUCCAGGCUAACCGAUUCUGGAAACGGUGGGUUACCGAUUACCUUCCUGAGAUAACCCGCCGCACGAAAUGGUUCAUGCACACCAAGCCGUUAGAGAUCAACGAUGUGGUUGUGAUUGUCGACCCCAAAUCUCCACGAAAUUGUUGGCCGAAGGGCAGAAUAAUCAACGUCCAGCCUGGAAGAGAUGGUCAACCAAGGUCAGCCACAGUGAGGACUGCAACUGGAAUCUACGAGCGUCCAGCAACUAAGCUGGCCGUGCUAGACGUACGGCGCGAAACAUAGUAAGCAGGUCAGACGACCAGCGUACCUGGGGGGAGUGUUGGCGAAUCCACGCCACCGCGCCUUCACUACACUUUGGGCCAGCCUAAAGUCAGAUGUUGCAGAACGGUCGAGACUACGUUGGGCAUCGGGUGGCACCGAACGAUAGAUGGAAUGACAGUUUCCUCUGUCAUGUGGUGAGUCACUCACACUAAAACAACUGAAUUGUCAAUUAAUUAUAACGAUCAAAAGUCAAAGAACGUGAACUUGCUAAAUUAUUUUCUGUCGCUGAUGAUUAUUUCAUUAAACGUUGAAUUAUUUCUAGUUUAUUAUAUCUAAUACUAAAAGUUCAACUUAAUCUACGUUGUCGACCACAUAUAGCCUAAAAAUAACCUAUAUGCUAUUACUAAAAGUACGGCAGGUUAGAUAGUACGGACUAGUGCGACAAAACGGCAAAAACAUACAUUGUACAAACGGUGGAUGACAAAACGAUUAGACUCGAGACAGACUUGAACUGAUUACACGGAGGGAAACGAAACAUUGAAUUCGGGACUAAACGUAAGUGACAAUUAAUAAUAUUGUACAUACUCAUAUUUCUCUAUAGACACAUAAUUAACAUCACAAUCAAGAAACACCAAUUACAUGUUGAACUUAUGUAACCUUCUUAGGAAAAUAAUAAUCAUCCGGAUUAAAACCAAAAACCCAAUCGCCGGCCGUUUUAUUUCCGGGAUUAUUAUUGCGGAAUCACCCGAGGUUGUUGGCAAUUUCCAACAAUAAUGUUUUAUAGUUUUAUGCCGUAAUUCACAACAUUCGUAUUAAUUUGACGAGAUUCCACUCUUUGGAAGCUUUCUAGUUGCUUGACAACUCAUCCAGUUCUUCAUCGAUUCCAACGACAGGAAAAUAAAAUUAAGUGAAACAACAAUUGAUAAUUAAUCGACUAUAUGGUCUAGUUAAAUAAAGACAGCGUAGCCGAAAACUAGUAAGUAAAACAAUAAUAUUUUAAAAGUGUGUUUUAAAAUUUAAUUUGUGAGUAAAUUAUUAAAAUAUGCUCUUUUUCUCAUUACAAAUUCUUACAGGACAAACCAGUGAUUCUUCUUCUUCUUCUUUGUGGCUCGACGUUCGCAUUGGAACUUGGCCUGCCUCUCUUCAACUUAGUGUUCAUAGAGCAAUUCCACAGUUAUUAAUUCAAGGGCUUUCUUUGCCUGCCAUUGCAUGAAUUUGUAUAUUGUGAGGCGAGUACAAUGAUACACUAUGCUCAGGGAGUCGAGAAAAGUUUCCCGACUGAAACGGGAAUCGAACCCGCCGUCUCUGGAUUGGCGAUCCAUAGCCUUAACCACUAGGCUAACUGGAGACCCCAAUUGGAGACCAGUGAUUCUAUGAUCCCAAAAAUCUUUUUCCUAUGUACGUGGAUGAAUGAUAUAUGCAGGGGAUAGACAAAAUGAUCCGGACAGGCAACAUUUUUACUUUACAAAAAUAGUAAAAUACCUAGCUGUAAUUUUUAUUAAAAUGCAUCAAAAAAUCUCAAACUUUUAUUAUAAGUAAAUUAACAAGUUGUGUAUUAUAUGGUCCAUUUUGGAAAAGAUCGGGCUAUUCUACAUGAAAUUAGAAAGGUUUUAGGAAAAGGCAUAAUUAACCGAUAGUCAAAUCUGACUAUCCGAUGAUCGGAUCUGACUCCGGACUCAAUGAACCGAAUGCAAUGACAUUUUGACCAUUUAUGACUCAUAUAAUGAGCUCCGAAAGAAGUUUGACUUAACUUGAAAUCAUUUAUAAGAUAAAAAGAUACAGCGAUUUCAUUUAUUUUAUGAUUUUUUAGUAAAUUGGUUUAAUUUUAAUAUGCUUCCCAUCACUUUUUUUUUAACUUAUUGUCGGUUAUUUUGUUACUUCCUCUCAAAACGUUUUCGUAUUGAAGUCAAUUAGAGGGAAUUCAAAUAAACUAUUAUCACCUUCUUGAAUUUUGAAACUAUGGUCACUUUUUCGAUAAUUUUCAGAUAAAUUAGAAAAAUAAUCUCAACGCUAUGAUAACAAUUUUAGUUUAUGUCAAAACUUUUUCAAAGCUCAUCAUAUAAGUAAUGAAUUCUCCAAAUUUCAUUGCGUUUUAUUCAUUGAAACCGGAAAACAGUUCAAAGUUGGCUAUCGGAAAAUUAUGACUUUUUUCUAGAAUGUUUCUAACAUUGUCUAGAAUAGCUCGAUCAUUCCCAAAAUUGGACUAGUAAUACACAACUAAUUGAUCAACUCACAGUAUAAAUAUAGGAUUUUUUGAUGCACGUUUAAAAAAGUUACAGCUAUUUGACUAGGUAUGUUUUGUAAAGUGAAAAUUUUGCCUGUCCCGAUAAUUUUGCUAUCCCCUAGGCAAUUUUGUCCGUUACCAAAAUCAACACUACUCUCGAACAGGCAACCAAAAGAAU